GUCGUUUUUGUGGCGCAAUUUGUCCCAUAGGAAUGAAUGGCAAAGCUAGAGUGGGAGCUGGCAAAAGCUGAAAAAUCAGGACAUGAUUUCUAAACUGCCACCACUCCCUUAUUUUCAGGCCCACCUACACAAAUCUUAUAUCAAAACGUUCAGCUAUCCCUGCUGCCACUAAACAUGUCAACGGCUAAGCCGUAGUCCUGAUAGUUUUCACAAUAUGACCAUUUGUUUGCAACCAACGCCGUCCAUUGACAUUCAUUGAAACUUCACUCUGCAAAGCUCAAAUUUGAAGUGCAAUUUCUAAACUGCGACUGUGCCUUCAAUUUUAAUACUUCAGAG